GACGAACGCUGGCGGCGUGCUUAACACAUGCAAGUCGAACGGAAAGGCCUUUUCGGAGGUACUCGAGUGGCGAACGGGUGAGUAACACGUGGGUGAUCUGCCCUGCACUCUGGGAUAAGCCCGGGAAACUGGGUCUAAUACCGGAUAGGACCGCACUUUAGUGUGUGUGGUGGAAAGUUUUUUCGGUGUAGGAUGAGCCCGCGGCCUAUCAGCUUGUUGGUGGGGUAAUGGCCUACCAAGGCGGCGACGGGUAGCCGGACUGAGAGGUUGGUCGGCCACAUUGGGACUGAGAUACGGCCCAGACUCCUACGGGAGGCAGCAGUGGGGAAUAUUGCACAAUGGGCGCAAGCCUGAUGCAGCGACGCCGCGUGGGGGAGGACGGCCUUCGGGUUGUAAACUCCUUUCGCCAGGGACGAAGCGUUUUGUGACGGUACCUGGAGAAGAAGCACCGGCUAACUACGUG
rnacentral:rRNA from 1 species